rnacentral:rRNA from 1 species
AACGAACGCUGGCGGCAUGCCUAACACAUGCAAGUCGAACGAGACCUUCGGGUCUAGCGGCGCACGGGUGCGUAACGCGUGGGAACCUGCCCUUAGGUUCGGAAUACCUCCCCGAAAGGGGUGCUAAUACCGGUUAAUGUCUUCGGACCAACGAUUUAUCGCCUUUGGAUGGGCCCGCGUUGGUUUCGCCGGUUGGUAGGGGACAAGCCUGCCAAGGCGGGGAUCCAUGGCUGGUAGGAGAGGAUGACCAGCCACACUGGGCAUGAGGCACGGACCAGACUGCGACGGGAGGGAGGAGAGGGGAAUAUAGGACGAUGGGGGAAGGUGUGAUAAAGCAGUGCGGCGUGAGUGAUGAAGGGCUUAGGGUUGUAAAGCUCUUUUAGCAGAGAUGAUAGUGACAGUAACGGGAGAAGAAGCACCGGCUAACUACGUG